rnacentral:rRNA from 1 species
UACGUAGGGGGCUAGCGUUGUCCGGAAUUAUUGGGCGUAAAGCGCGUGUAGGCGGCUUUGCAAGUCGGGUGUGAAAGCCCUCAGCUUAACUGAGGAAGUGCGCCCGAAACUGCAGAGCUUGAGUACCGGAGAGGAUGGCGGAAUUCCCCAAGUAGAGGUGAAAUUCGUAGAUAUGGGGAGGAACACCGGUGGCGAAGGCGGCCAUCUGGACGGAUACUGACGCUGAGACGCGAAAGCGUGGGUAGCAAACAGG